UGGAAAAAUUGCGCACAACAAUGAAUGCACGGGUCUUAUUUUCAAGAUGUGGACAUUAAUUCGCUUUCCAAAGUUAAUAAACAUGUGGAAAUGUGAGCAGCAUUUUGUAUUCCUAGUUGAAUUAGUUAGGGAGUGUAAACAAAGUACAACCCUUUUUUUUUUUUUUACAUUCUAAUUGCUGCCGGGAGCCCCGGGAGAGUUCUCUUUUCUUUGUGAAGGGCAGGGCGCCCUGGAAUGGGUUUGCCCCGAGAGAGGGGCCCAAGCCCUGGAAAGUGUUGUGGUUCUGGCGGGGUCCGGUGACCUCUCGCUGGCUCUUGAAAAUCCGGGGGAGAGGGUGAAAAUCUCGCGCCGGGCCGUACCCAUAUCCGCAGCAGGUCUCCAAGGUGAACAGCCUCU
rnacentral:ncRNA from 1 species